GGUGGUAUUAAAUCCUUUGCAAUCAUUCAUGUGUAUUUCCCCAAACUCAGAGGGGAUCAGAAGAAAGGAACAAUGACACACAGUCUCUUUUAAGUUUAUCACACAUCAGAACUUUCUGGAAUAUGCUAUUUUAGACUUAUCAGAGAUGUGAAGCAUGCAAGUCAAAUUGAAUUCAGGCUUAUGCAAUAAUACACUGAAGUCAGAAAUGUUGUGACUGCAGUUAGUAAGCGGAGGCAUCAGACU
rnacentral:lncRNA from 1 species